rnacentral:rRNA from 1 species
GACGAACGCUGGCGGCGUGCUUAACACAUGCAAGUCGAACGGAAAGGCCCUGCUGUUGUGGGGUGCUCGAGUGGCGAACGGGUGAGUAACACGUGAGUAACCUGCCCUUGACUUUGGGAUAACUUCAGGCAACUGGGGCUAAUACCGGAUAGGAGCUCCUGCUGCAUGGUGGGGGUUGGAAAGAUUCGGCGGUUGGGGAUGGACUCGCGGCUUAUCAGCUUGUUGGUGGGGUAGUGGCUUACCAAGGCUUUGCCGGGUAGCCGGCCUGAGAGGGUGACCGGCCACAUUGGGACUGAGAUACGGCCCAGACUCCUACGGGAGGCAGCAGUGGGGAAUAUUGCACAAUGGGCGGAAGCCUGAUGCAGCAACGCCGCGUGCGGGAUGACGGCCUUCGGGUUGUAAACCGCUUUCGCCUGUGACGAAGCGUGAGUGACGGUAAUGGGUAAAGAAGCACCGGCUAACUACGUG